rnacentral:tRNA from 1 species
UGUGGUAAAGGGAAGACUUAACCCCCAUAAACGAAUUUACAAUUCGCCACCUAUUCUCGGCCACUUUACCU